rnacentral:rRNA from 1 species
AUUGAACGCUGGCGGCAUGCUUUACACAUGCAAGUCGAACGGUAACAGGCCUUCGGGUGCUGACGAGUGGCGAACGGGUGAGUAAUGCAUCGGAACGUGCCCAGGGGUGGGGGAUAACGCAGCGAAAGCUGUGCUAAUACCGCAUGUGAUCUGAGGAUGAAAGCGGGGGACCAGGCAGCAAUGUUUGGCCUCGCGCCUUUGGAGCGGCCGAUGUCAGAUUAGGUAGUUGGUGGGGUAAAGGCCUACCAAGCCGACGAUCUGUAGCUGGUCUGAGAGGACGACCAGCCAAACUGGGACUGAGACACGGCCCAGACUCCUACGGGAGGCAGCAGUGGGGAAUUUUGGACAAUGGGCGCAAGCCUGAUCCAGCAAUGCCGCGUGCGGGAAGAAGGCCUUCGGGUUGUAAACCGCUUUUGUACGGAACGAAAAGGCUCUGGCUAAUACCUGGGGCUGAUGACGGUACCGUAAGAAUAAGCACCGGCUAACUACGUG